AGAGUUUGAUCAUGGCUCAGAUUGAACGCUGGCGGCAUGCCUUACACAUGCAAGUCGAACGGCAGCGCGGGGCAACCUGGCGGCGAGUGGCGAACGGGUGAGUAAUAUAUCGGAACGUACCCUGGAGUGGGGGAUAACGUAGCGAAAGUUACGCUAAUACCGCAUACGAUCUAAGGAUGAAAGUGGGGGAUCGCAAGACCUCAUGCUCCUGGAGCGGCCGAUAUCUGAUUAGCUAGUUGGUGAGGUAAUGGCUCACCAAGGCCACGAUCAGUAGCCGGUCUGAGAGGACGGUCGGCCACACUGGAACUGAGACACGGUCCAGACUCCUACGGGAGGCAGCAGUGGGGAAUUUUUCGCAAUGGGGGCAACCCUGACGAAGCAAUGCCGCGUGGAUGAUGAAGUCUCUUGGGACGUAAAAUCCUUUCGACAGGGACGAAACCGCAAGGUUGACGGUACCUGUAGAAGAAGCCCCGGCUAACUCCGUGCCAGCAGCCGCGGUA
rnacentral:rRNA from 1 species